GAUGAACGCUGGCGGCGUGCCUAAUACAUGCAAGUCGAGCGAACAGACGAGGAGCUUGCUCCUCUGACGUUAGCGGCGGACGGGUGAGUAACACGUGGAUAACCUACCUAUAAGACUGGGAUAACUUCGGGAAACCGGAGCUAAUACCGGAUAAUAUAUUGAACCGCAUGGUUCAAUAGUGAAAGACGGUUUUGCUGUCACUUAUAGAUGGAUCCGCGCCGCAUUAGCUAGUUGGUAAGGUAACGGCUUACCAAGGCAACGAUGCGUAGCCGACCUGAGAGGGUGAUCGGCCACACUGGAACUGAGACACGGUCCAGACUCCUACGGGAGGCAGCAGGAGGGAAUCUUCCGCAAUGGGCGAAAGCCUGACGGAGCAACGCCGCGUGAGUGAUGAAGGUCUUCGGAUCGUAAAACUCUGUUAUUAGGGAAGAACAAAUGUGUAAGUAACUAUGCACGUCUUGACGGUACCUAAUCAGAAAGCCACGGCUAACUACGUG
rnacentral:rRNA from 1 species